UGUAUGAAGCUGGAAUCGCUAGUAAUCGCAGAUCAGAAUGCUGCGGUGAAUACGUUCCCGGGUCUUGUACACACCGCCCGUCACACCAUGGGAGCCAGGAAUGCCCGAAGCCAGUGGCCUAACCGCAAGGGAGGAGCUGUCGAAGGCAGGCCCGGUAACUGGGGUGAAGUCGUAACAAGGUAUC
rnacentral:rRNA from 1 species